AUAAAAAGAAUCCUUGACUUUCGAGUCAAGGGAAAUGGGUAUUCCGCAUUUUUAGCGGUAGCCUGAAAUGUAUGGUCUGUCUCAUCUAUUCGAGAUGCGUAAUAAUAUUAUUUCGUAAAAUCUUUGAUGCGAAUGACGAGCUACCAAGUCUUUACGUGUACGCUUUAUUGUUGUAUGCGAUUAAUACAAAUAUUUUUUG
rnacentral:misc_RNA from 1 species